UUUAAAAUUCUUUAUUUUUAAAUAAAGUUUAAAAGUAAUGUGAGUAGUGUAAAAUAUUCAAAUACAGAAAUGUAUAAAGUUGAAAAUCUCAUGUAAUCUACACUGUUCAAAGAAAGCCAUUAAUAGACUUUUCUAUGCAUUAUAAACAUAAAUAUGCACAUUUUUAAAUGAGUUCAUACAUUUUCCUGUCAAUAGUUUGUUUCACUUAAUAUAUUAUGGCCAUUUUUCCAUGUCUACACACAAUAAAUUUACUUCAUCCAUUUUAACAGACACCUAGAUUUUCUUUUAUGGCUGAACCAUGUGUUAUUUAACCAAUCCUUUUGAUAAACUUUUAAGUUUUCUUCUACAUUUUUCUACCAUGUAAUUUUCAUACUUCUGUAGUAACUUGAAUAUUGUCAGUUCCUGUCUCAUUUUGCGUUCCGAUUUGGAAGAUAAUUUCAGUAUGGCCAUAAGCUCUAAUUUAAUAAAUACUUGGAUCUGUCAAGUUUCGAUAUUGGUAGAUACUGUAUCAGGUAGGACUCAAUUUCAAGCAAGAGAAACCCAACUCAAAGUAACUUAAGCAAAACAGGGUAUUUAUUGGUUCACAUAACUGAAAAGUCCAGGGGAUAUACUAGCUUCAGGCACGGUUGGAUCCAGGGGCACAAACUUUGUUAUCAGGACUCAAGUCUCUCCAUCAUUUGGCUCUGCUUUCUUCUGCACUGGCACUUUCUGACUGGCUCAUUUGAUAUGGUGGGCCCUGGUGGUUUGAGUUUUUCAUCUUACAAAGCUAAGCGACUUCAAUAAAGAGAGCUUCUGAGCUUCUCCUCCUCCACAGUUCAGUAAAAUUCCUGGGCUUCAGUAUCACUAGACCAACUUGAAUCACAUGAACAUUCCUGAACCAAUCACUACAGUCAAGGAGAUGGACUAUGCUGAUGGAUCAGGUCUGAACCAUGUGGACUGAAAACAGGUAAAUAUGGUUCCAAGAAACAUCAGGGAGUUGUUACAAAGAGAUGGAAUGGAUGCUGGUCAAUCAAAAACAACUCCUGCCAAUGAUAAGACCAGAUAACGCAAAAGUUUAAUCUCUGGUCAUAAAGUUGAUGCUAACAUUGUUACUUCCUCGAUAAUACUCUGGAAGAACAUCAUGAGGAGUAAGUUUGUCCUGUUCACAGGAAGUUUGUAAUCCAUUUGAAUGAAACAAUCAUGUUCAAUAGCAUACUCUGGAUGAUACAACAGAGUUUCAAUAUAAGUAAACUCAGUGGUCAUGAGUCUGAAGGCCCAACUGUCUUGCUGACAUAAAGCAGGAUAACUAGCCUCCCACCAGUGAACAGUUCUGUGAGGCUAUUCAAGUCAGUGGUAAAUUUUAAGUUCAGUGGAAGAGUUUUCUUGUGUUAAGUCUUUUGCCAAGUUGAACUGGUACAUUUCUGUGAGUGCUGAUGAAUCAGACUCAUCUCUGUAUUAGUGCACGAGAGAGGAAUGGACAAUGAUUUCAAUCUGCUGUACUCCUGCAGAUCUGAUCAAAGGGGUCCCAGGUGCUGAAAACAAUCAAAUACAGGUGUAGAGGCUUACUCUGCACUUAACAACAAGAAAAAGCUGUUGGUCAAGGAUUACACAGAAUGGUCCUUCCUGUUGUGAACAUUAAGUCCUGGUAGGCUGAGGUGCAGGUUGCUUCUGUUCAAAAUUCCUUGGUGGGCCUGGGUAUAAGUUAGGCCAAGAUCACUGGUAGUCUUCUCAAGCACAGUCAGUCUGUUUGCAGCAACAUGUCCAAAAAGGCAGGCAAGGGCUGAAUCAGGUAACCAGGCAAGUAGGGUACCAUCAGCAGGGCCAGCCAUACUAUUAGCCAGACGUGAUCUGGAAGAACAGGAUGAUGACUAUUGAAGCUCUGUAAAUCAGUUCUUAUCCUGAGUACUCCAGGGUUAAUCCACAGGCUUUACUCUGGAUACAUUUUUCUGAUCUUAAAGGGCCAGUCAGGCACAGCAGCUUUCAUUUUCCUGUUCAUUUCCCCAGAGCUUUCAGCUCAGGAGACGGCUUUAUCCUCAAUUCAGACUUGAGGUUCUGUUUAGGAACCUAUGCUACAUCUGGGAUUGAUAAGGUUGGGAGAGCCAGGUUUAUCAAGAUUGGCCCUACUUUCUUUGGUAAUCAAGUCUCCAUCCUCUGUAACUCAGCCUAUCUGUGAGAAUCACCUUAUAUAUAAGUCAAGGCCUCAGAUUGGUUGACUGAUGAGAUCUGAGGCAUGGAGAUAGUAGGCAAGAUACUAGGUUUGAGUUUCAGGCGUUUUGGUUUUUCAACCAUCAACUCUUAUACAGUGUUCAUUAGACUCUAGAACAGACGAUCAUCCUCAUUCUUAAGCCCCUCAUUUUGACAGGAUUAAAGGGAAUGACUGGCAGUGUAGAUGAAUAUCUUUUUCUGUAAAGUACAGAGAAAGAGAAAAUUGAGCUGACGUUUUGAAGGUAGUAGAAAAACUUAGUUUGUAGAUGAUUUCUUCUUUACAAAUAAUAGUUGUAUAUACAAGCAGGCUAGUCAUCAGAUUUUUUAUUUGUUGAGGGUGAACAGUCUAGAGUAAACAGACUUAGGCCUUGUUUGAUGAUUUGUAGACCCAGUCAUGUAACCACCAUAAGGAUAAGAGACAAAGACAUAAAGAAACCUUUCCCAACAUUUAACCAGUGCAUUUGUUAAAGUAGUUGAGGACAGCUGGCCCUUACGUUGACUGUGUAGUAAAGGAAUGAGAUUUCUUUCAUGACACAAAUCGAAGUCUACUUGUUUGAUGUGAUUUGGUCUGGGAGUUCAUAAAUGGAAUCCUUCCUGCAGAAACAGAUAAAUUGUCUUAAAGCCUGAGAAUAUCUCACGGCAAGGAAUGAAGUCAGCCACUGUGAAUAAGUGUGAAACAACAGCACUGAGACAGAUGAAAUUCCAUUAAAACAUCCACAAGGACGAGGGACUGUGGUCUUGUGACAUUAAGCAGCAGCAGCAGGAAGCUCUUGAGUCUACUGAUAAUACUUAGCUGCAAGCUUUGUAGACUUUUUUUCAAGUCAUUCUACAUUUCCACCAAAAAGGUAGAUGAUAUGCAAUUUGAGAUGCCAAGCAAGUCAGUCAUCAUGGCCUGGCCAACAGGCCUACCUCCAAAUAUCCCUAACAUCUAUACUUGAUAGUACCAGACAUCAAAAGAUCUAUCUUAAAAGAACAUCCCUUGUGGGCUAGAAGAAAAUUUUCCAAACAGCCACAUUUUAAAUUACACCCAAGUAAGGAUAUUCAAAGAUUGUCUCUUGUGGAUCGGGGUUACAUGCAGUUAGAGCUGAGUAUUCAUAAUUUUUGGAACAGAACAGGCAGAAAUGCCAGUGAUGGAGAAAUUGUUUUAACUUUUUUUUUUAAGGUUAUUAGCUCAUUUAUCUUGGAAACAGCAGUUAAACUGAAUAAAAACCAAGGAGCAGUGUAACUGCCACUGGUUGAGUCACAGUGACUUGUAGUUUAAGAUGAAUGAUAACCAGGUACCCUUUUAGGUAACGUUGCCAGUAUCUGAAUUUUGCUUUCAUAGUUAAUGGUUAUCCCUUGCACACGAAGUACAGUACCAUGGCCGAUGACGGGAGGUUCAACGUACAAGUUGGUCUAAUAUGGCCUCAAUGAGGCAUCAACUUCAAUAUCAGCUUCAAUACCUGGCAAUUCAGGUAUCUAAGGAGGAUCAAGACUUCCAAGUCAUGUAUUUCAAGUACCACUAGAACAUCUGGUGUGUGUGAAAGAAGUUGGGUAAAGGGGUUUGUCAGUGUAGAGUACAUAUGAAUUGUUCUCUGGUUCUAUCCAAUUCCAGGAAUGAGUGGAAGUCCAUCUAGGGCAGAGGGCUGUUAAUCUAGGUCCAUCUGAUACCACUUUCAGCCCAUAUGACUCUGGGGGGCAAAGACACGCCCAUCUUCUUGGCCUUUUCUGAGUUGGCUCAUAGUUAGUAUCCCUUAGAAUGUUCGGCAACAACUGAACUUGGACUGUUUCGGCAGAGGUAUAGAUGAAAAUGUCAUUCAGGUCGAACAUAUUGCUGUCUAGGGCAGUGGUUUUCAAACUGUGUUCUGCAGAAUUCUAGCUGUUGUAAAGAAGUCUCCUUAGGUGUCACCAUGGUGGUAAAAGAAGAUGCUUGUGGCAGGUUUCAGGCCCCCUACUCCUGCUUCAUCCAGAGCAGCUUCACUCUUACUCUGGGCUUCCACACAGUUUUCAUUCAAAGGGCUUCACGGCCACAAAGCCUUUGGAAAACCAAUGAUCUAAGAAUAAGGUGUUCACAAAAUGCUGAAAUACAAAAAAUAGGUCUGCUAUAAAUUCUGAUUGCCUGAAAUUGAGCUUGUAAGUGACUAUCAUAGAACAAGACUAUUGGUCUUAAGUGACAAUAGCACUGGGGUUUUUAGUCAGCAUACAGCUGCAAAAUGCCUUCAUUUCUUUGUAAAUAUUAUUCCAAGAAGUCCAUAGCAUAGCUGGAUGACUUCUCUUCAAGCACUGAUAAGAUCUCAAUGGGCCACAACUCAAAUUCUAAGAAAAAGUAUCUGCUUCUCACCCCUCCUCCCCCUUUUCUCCAUCCUUUUCCUCCUCCCUUCCCUUCCCAAUCUCCUCACCCACCUGAGA
rnacentral:lncRNA from 1 species